CUACUUACCUGGCAGGGGAGACACUUUGAUCAUGAAGGGGAUUUUCCCAGGGUGAGGCUCAUCUGUUGCACUGCGGAUUUGCUAACCCCUGUGAUUUCCCCCAAAUGCGGGAAACUCAACUGCAUAAUUUGUGGUAGUGGGGGACUGUGUUUGUGCUUUCCCCGG